rnacentral:rRNA from 1 species
UGGGGGAUAUUGCACAAUGGGCGCAAGCCUGAUGCAGCGACGCCGCGUGGGGGAUGAAGGCCUUCGGGUUGUAAACUUCUUUUGCUCUGAACAAGGCGCACUUUGGGGUGUGUUGAGUGUAGGGGUUGAUUAGCGCCGGCUAACUACGUGCCAGCAGCCGCGGUAAUACGUAGGGCGCGAGCGUUGUCCGGAAUUAUUGGGCGUAAAGGGCUUGUAGGUGGCUGGUUGCGUCUGUCGUGAAAGCUCAUGGCUUAACUGUGGGUUUGCGGUGGGUACGGGCUGGCUUGAGUGCAGUAGGGGAGGCUGGAAUUCCUGGUGUAGCGGUGGAAUGCGCAGAUAUCAGGAGGAAUAACGGUGGCGAAGGAGGGUCUCUGGGCUGUUACUGACACUGAGGAGCGAAAGCAUGGGGAGCGAACAGG